GGUUCCAUAGUGUAGCGGUUAGCACAUCUGCUUUACACGCAGAAGGGCUUGAGUUGUCACCCCAGUGGAGCCA
rnacentral:tRNA from 1 species